rnacentral:misc_RNA from 2 species
AAGUCAUAACAAGGUUUCCGUAGGUGAACCUGCGGAAGGAUCAUUAAUGAUGCCCUCGAAGUCUUUGGACUGGUAGGGUUUGUGUCGGUCUCUUCGGAGUCGACCUUAUCUCACACACCGUGAACUGUGGCUUCGGCCAUUUACACAAACUGUUAGUAAUGAAUGUAACAUCAUAACAAACAUAAAACUUUUAACAACGGAUCUCUUGGCUCUC